rnacentral:rRNA from 1 species
AUUGAACGCUGGCGGCAGGCCUAACACAUGCAAGUCGAGCGGAUGAAGGGAGCUUGCUCCUGUAUUCAGCGGCGGACGGGUGAGUAAUGCCUAGGAAUCUGCCUGGUAGUUGGGGAUAACGUCCGGAAACGGGCGCUAAUACCGCAUACGUCCUGAGGGAGAAAGUGAGGGAUCUUCGGACCUCACGCUAUCAGAUGAGCCUAGGUCGGAUUAGCUAGUUGGUAGGGUAAAGGCCUACCAAGGCGACGAUCCGUAACUGGUCUGAGAGGAUGAUCGGUCACACUGGAACUGAGACACGGUCCAGACUCCUACGGGAGGCAGCAGUGGGGAAUAUUGGACAAUGGGCGAAAGCCUGAUCCAGCCACGCCGCGUGUGUGAAGAAGGUCUUCGGAUUGUAAAGCACUUUAAGUUGGGAGGAAGGGCAGUAAGUUAAUACAUUGCUGUUUUGACGUUACCAAAACAAUAAGCCCCGGCUAACUUCGUG